ACUCGUAACUGUGGUUCUUAACUCCCAUCUGUGAUUUAGGGGAGGCAGCUAGGCUGAGAAUCCUAGGUUGUGCCUGUGCUAACUUCAGGGCAUGCCCCAUUCUCUCUACCCACCACAGUCCUUGUCCAAGCAAGCCCUGAUGGCCAGUGCUUUGCCACACAGCAGUGCCAGCCUCUGGCAGGCUCAACUCCUACUUCGGCAGGAAGUCUGGAAGAGUGCUGUGCCUGGCCCUGGGAACACAGCUGGUGGAACAGCAGCUCCCAGGUCUGCCUCAGUUGUUCCAACAGACACCUCCCAGGUCCGGGUGAUGUUGGGCUUCGAGGACGUGCUGAUCCAGGGCGGUGCGGUCUCUGUGAGGGGGAAGCCCAUGCCUGAGGGGGAAGGAGUCUCAGCUGCUCCAUGGUGAGGGGCCCUUCCCUUUCCCAGGAAAGCCCCUCCUGCCCAGGGCAGUAGAAGUGCAGACAGAGCUGCUCCUUCCCCACCAUGGCCCUAGGGUGGCUCCUUGAGAUGAGCCCAGAGGACUGGGCCUGGUUCAAGUAUGACCUUGGGUAGGUCUCACGGUUUAAGGCUUACCCCUCCCGA
rnacentral:lncRNA from 1 species